rnacentral:rRNA from 1 species
UACGUAGGGGGCUAGCGUUGUCCGGAUUUAUUGGGCGUAAAGAGCGUGUAGGUGGCCAGGUAGGUCUGGUGUGAAAACUCGAGGCUUAACCUCGAGAUGUCAUCGGAAACCAUCUGACUAGAGUCCGGAAAGAGGAGACGUGGAAUUCCUGGUGUAGCGGUGAAAUGCGCAGAUAUCAGGAAGAAUACCAAUGGCGAAAGCAGCUCUCUGGGACGGUACUGACGCUGAGACGCGAAAGCGUGGGGAGCGAACAGG